rnacentral:rRNA from 1 species
CAUGAAACAAUGUAAUAGGGCCUCGGUUCUAUUUUAUAAGUUUUUGAAAUUCCGACCAGAUUGGAUGUAUUGGUGCUUGCAAUUCUUCCCCAUGAAUGAAUAAUUCCUAGUAAGCGCGAGUCAUAAGCUUGCGUCGCUACUACCGAUUGAAUUAUUUAGUGAGGUGCCGCUGUUGCAGGAAAGAUGACCAAUCUUGAUUAUUGAGAAGAAGUAUAAACCGUAACAAAGUUACGUGAAAUAUUUAUAUUUCAAUUGUAAAACAAAAUCUCGUAUCUCUGAACAAAAAGCGAAUGCUUUACUGUGUACUAAUUGUAACCAUAAUAGAUAUACUAGUAUCAGCAUCGCGCGAGCCAUCUUAACCAAUUACCAGGGAAUUACGUUCGAAACAUGUCUAAAUUAUAUAAAAUCACCCUGAACGAUGGAUUACUUGGCUUGUGGGUUGAUAAAGAACGCAGCUAAUUGCGCGAUAACAUGUGAACUACAGGAUACAUGAGCAAUGACAUUUCGAACGCACAUUUCGGUCCUCGGAUACUGUUUCCAGACCACCUCUGUCCGAGGUCGUUUAACAAUACCAGACUACCGCUUGCUUUAAACAAAUAAUGGAGUUUCGCGUAUAUGCGUGCUCUUAAAUAAUUUACUUAAAGUAAAGGUUUGCUUAAGCAAACUGAGAGAUGACAGACUACAGAGGACCCGAAAGAUGGUAAACUAUGCCCGGUCAGGUCGAAGUAAGGAAAAACUCUUAUGGAGGACUGUAGCGAUUCUGGCGUGCAAAUCGAUCGUCGGAACUGGCUAUAAAGGCGAAAGACUAAUUGAAGAAUCUAGUAGCUGAUUUCCUACAAAGCUUUCCUCAAUAUGGCUGGCAUUCGAUGAGCGAGUCUCUUCAGGUAAAGCAAAUAAUUAAAUUACUUCAAUCUAUUCUCAAACUUUAAAUGGGUUAGAUCUCUGGCAUGCUUGAAUAGUGAAGCUAGAGAUUAGGAUCAGAGUGCCUAGUUGGCUACUUCUGAUAAGCAUAACUGGCGCAAUGAGUUGAACUAAACGCUGAUUUGAGGCGCCUGAACGACGCUAAUGGAAUUCCAUAAAAGGUAUUUAGACAGCAAGACGGUGGCCAUGGAAGUUGGAAUCCGCUAAGGAGUGUAUAAGAACUCACCUGCUGAAACGUUGUGUCUAUACACGGCCGCCAGGGCAUGAGAAACGUUUAUUUAGUUCGUUUUGUAGCUCUGGUUAGUAGGAGGGUCGCGGUGGUGUGCGCAGAAGGGUUUGGGCGUGAGCCUGUCUGGAGCCACUAUUGGUGCAGAUCUUGGUGAUAGUAGCAAAUAAUUUAAUUAAUAAUAGUUUUUUGUGAACAGUCGUUGCACACGAGUCAAUUGGUCCUAAGCCCCGGGAGAAAUCCUAUGCUGAUGUUGGUAUAUUUUAUUUUGAAUAAAAUCUCACAUUCAUCGAACAAAAAGGAAUCCGGUUUCUAUUCUGAAACCCAGCAGCGGAACCGUUUACAAAUCGGGCCCCCGCAAGGGAGUUUAUCGGGGUAACCCAAAAUGACUUGGAGACGCCGUCGGCAAAUACGGGAAGAAUUUUCCUUUCUGUUUCAUUUUUCUUUAAUUUUCUAGCAGGAAGAUAGGGUUUGGAAUGCGAAGAGCGCCGCAGUUGCGCCAAACAAAAUCUUUCGAAAAGUUUUUUGUUUUUUAAAAUUGAUUCAGUGUUGAAUACUAAUACUUGCACGAGAAAUUUUUCACUUUUCUGCUAUUUACGAAGAAACGGCUCUGCCGAUCGAUAAAAUCAAAAAACGAUACUAAUUUUUGCAAAAUUUGACAAAUUUUUAAAUUUCGUCAAAACGACUGGUCGUAGGUCUAUAGGACUAUGAUAUAUACCGUCAAAAAAAUUCAUGAAAAUUGUCUAAAAACAAAUUUUAACACUUUAUUACAAGGAAACGGUUUGUCGAUCUUUACCAAAAACUGAUCAGCAUCUAUCCCAAUAACUCUCGAACGGUUUUUAAUUUUUUUAAAUUGAUUCAGAAUUGCGGGCUAAAUCGUGGACAAAUUUUUUUUCACUUUUCUGCUAUUUACAAAAAAACGGCUUGGCUGAUCGUUGCGCAAAAUUGAUAAAUGCUUGUCUUAAUCGAGAUACAUGAAAUCGCUUUUAAAUUUUUGAAAUCGGUUUACCCGUUUUUGAGAAAACUUCGAUUUACGGCAAAAAAUUUGUUUACACACACACCUACAUACUUUUUCCAAAUUUGGUCUCAUUCUAUUCAGAAUGGCUUAAAACAUCGAGAAAACGUAAAAUUAGCGAUUCAGAUUUUUUGAUAAAAACAUAAACUUCUCUUUCGGGAAGUUAAAAAAUAGCCAUAUGUCUCGUCAUCUAACUAGUGACGCGCGUGAAUGGAUUAACGAGAUUUUUACUGUAUCUAUCCACUUUCUAGCAAAACCACUGCCAAGAGAACGGACUGAAAAAAUUAGCGAGGAAAUAAGUCCUUGUUGAGAUUGAUUUUAGUCUGGCAUUGUAAGGAGACAUGAAAGGUGUGGCAUAGGUGGGAGAUAGCAAUAUCAUCGGUAAAAUACCACUACUUUCAGCAUUUCUUCAUUUACUCGAUUGGACGACUGUUACGGUUUUCUAGAGCCAAGCGCAUAAAAGUGGUGUUAAUCUUCACGCCAAUCGCCAACAAUACUCUAGCGUGAUUCGAUUCAAGGAAAUUGCUAGGCGGGUGUCCUAAGACCAGCUCAACGAAGACAGAAACCUUGCGUAGAAAGCACUGACUAUCGAUACUUUUGACUUGAAGAGUUUACAGCAAAAGGUGUCAGAAAAGUUGCCACAGACAUAACUGGCUUAUGGAAGCCAAGCGUUCAUUGCGACGUAGCAUUUUGAUCUUUCGGCUCUUCUUAUCAUUGCAAAGCAAAAUUCGCCAAGCGUUGGAUUGGUUACACACAAACAGGAAACGUGAGCUGGGUUUAGACCGUCGUGAGACAGGUUAGUUUUACCCUACUAAUGAAUUGUCGUUGUGAUAGUCAUUUUGCUCAGUAUAAGAGAAAUCGCAAAUUCGGACAUUUGGGACAUUUACUCGGUUGAACGGCUGGUGGUACAAAGCUACCAUCCGUGCAAUUAUGAAUGAACGUCUCUAAGGCCGUAUCCUUUCUAGACAAAGUGAGCAAUUUUUAGGGGCCUCGCGAGUCGAAAGGAUCAACACAAAGUGAUUCAUUAGGUAUUCGGCACAAGCCAUUUAUCGCACGAAUCUUUUUUGGCCGAAUGAAGCAAUGGGCACUUGUGGUAUCCAGUCGGGAAUCGAAAUCGUUCGUGAACGACUUAGGAUAUGGCGGAGUGUUAUACUCGGUAAAGCAGUU